rnacentral:rRNA from 1 species
CCGCCGGCGACCGGCGCACGGGUGAGUAACACGUAUGCGACCUGCCCGUAGCAGGGGGAUAAGCGGAAGAAAUUCCGUCUAAUACCGCGUAAUAUCUUUCGGGGGCAUCCCUGAGGGAUUAAAGGAAGUGAUUCCGGCUACGGAUGGGCAUGCGGCGCAUUAGCUAGUCGGCGGGGUAACGGCCCACCGAGGCGACGAUGCGUAGGGGUUCUGAGAGGAAGGUCCCCCACACUGGUACUGAGACACGGACCAGACUCCUACGGGAGGCAGCAG